rnacentral:lncRNA from 1 species
UCGAAGGGUAUAUUUAUGUACUAGAUGAUAUUGUUGGACAUAUGUAUUAAAGUUGUUACAAAGAUAUGACUUAUUAAAGUUGUUACAAAGAUAUGACUUCUACAUAGACAUGCUAAAGAGAGAUCAUCGUUGGACAUAUGAAUUAAAGUUGUUACAAAGAUAUGACUUCUACAUAGACAUGCUGAAGAGAGCUGCUAUCUCCAUUCGAACCAAGAUAUAACUUCUAUCAAAAAUUUAUUGUGAUCUUUUUAUUCAAAUAACAAUUAAGAUAAAGUAAUGUCAGGAACAACAAAUCUCUUUAUGAUAAACAGAUUCAUUGGACUAAUGGUGUAUACAAUAUUCGAAUUAUCGAUGUGGAUGCUCGUCCUUCAACUAUGAGUGUAAUUAGAAUAUUUAUUGACAAAAGGAUCACCCUAAGAUGAUCAUCUCAUGACUAUUGAGAAUAAAUCAAAUCAAAUGAUUUGUUUAGUUUUUUUAUAAAAAUUUAUUUUCGAGUUAUAAUGAAUAAAAAAUUUUGUUACAAUACCUGCAUUGCGCGUGUAACUACACUAGUGUUUAUUCGUGCGGAUCGCUCGUG